rnacentral:rRNA from 1 species
CCUACGGGUGGCAGCAGUGAGGAAUAUUGGUCAAUGGACGAGAGUCUGAACCAGCCAAGUAGCGUGAAGGAUGACUGCCCUAUGGGUUGUAAACUUCUUUUAUAUGGGAAUAAAAUGUUCCACGUGUGGGAUUUUGUAUGUACCAUAUGAAUAAGGAUCGGCUAACUCCGUGCCAGCAGCCGCGGUAAUACGGAGGAUCCGAGCGUUAUCCGGAUUUAUUGGGUUUAAAGGGCGCGUAGGUGGAUUGUUAAGUCAGUUGUGAAAGUUUGCGGCUCAACCGUAAAAUUGCAGUUGGAACUGGCAGUCUUGAGUACAGUAGAGGUGGGCGGAAUUCGUGGUGUAGCGGUGGAAUGCUUAGAUAUCACGAAGAACUCCGAUUGCGAAGGCAGCUCACUGGACUGCAACUGACACUGAGGCUCGAAAGUGUGGGUAUCAAACAGGAUUAGAUACCCCAGUAGUC